AUAUCAAUAAGCGGAGGAAAAGAAACUAACAAGGAUUCCCCUAGUAACUGCGAGUGAAGCGGGAAGAGCUCAAAUUUGUAAUCUGGCGGUCUCAGGCCGUCCGAGUUGUAGUCUGGAGAAGCGUUUUCCGCGUCGGACCGUGUACAAGUCCCUUGGAACAGGGCGUCAUAGAGGGUGAGAAUCCCGUCUUCGACACGGACUACCGAUGCUUUGUGAUGCGCUCUCGAGGAGUCGAGUUGUUUGGGAAUGCAGCUCAAAACGGGUGGUAAAUUCCAUCUAAAGCUAAAUAUUGGCGAAAGACCGAUAGCGAACAAGUACCGUGAGGGAAAGAUGAAAAGCACUUUGGAAAGAGAGUCAAAAAGCACGUGAAAUUGUUGAAAGGGAAGCGCUUGCAGCCAGACGUGCCCGCAGUUGCUCAUCCGGGGUUCUCCCCGGUGCACUCUUCUGUGGGCAGGCCAGCAUCAGUUCGGGCGGUUGGAGAAAGACCUGUGUCAUGUAGCUGUUCUCGGGCAGUGUUAUAGGGCAGGUGGAAUGCAACCAGCCGGAACUGAGGUCCGCGCAUCUGCUAGGAUGCUGGCGUAAUGGCUGUAAGCGG
rnacentral:rRNA from 1 species